UGUGGUUGUUUAUUUUUAAUUAAAAUAUUACUUUGUUGUUGUAUUGCUUUAGAUUUAAUUUUUAUUACUAUAGGUUAUUUGUACCGUGAGGGGUUGAUGUUUAAAAUGUUUUUUUGAAAGUUGAUUUUGUUUGUCGUACCUUGUGUAUCAGGGUUCAUUGAAUUUUAUUAUUUAUUUUUGUUUCCCGAUUUUAAAGGAGUUAAUGGCUUAUGUUAGUUACUGUUUCAUUAGUAUUAAUAAUAGGUGUAUUGGUAGUGAAAUGUUAUUCGUCUUUAGUGGUUUCUGGUUUUUCAAGAAAUGAAUUUAAUUCAUAUGUCUUAUUUAAUUUCUGUUGUUGUUUCUAUUUAUUUUUAUUUGAUAUUAAGAUUGAGGGGGAUUAGCUCCUUAUUUUAUUUUUAUAAUUGGUAUUGAUUUAAUUUAGUUUUGUGGAUUUUAUAGUGAUUUUCUAUUUGAUUAUGUUAAAAUUUUAUUUGUUCUUUUUUUUAUUUGGUGUUUAUUUAAGUUAUUUAUUGAAAUGUUUUCUUUAUUUUUGGUUUGUAUAGUAAUUAUUGUGUAAUUAGUAAAUUUUAUUAUUGUUUUGUUUGAUAAAAGUAUAGGUGUUAAUUACUUUUGAGGAAUUAGGCAAAUUUUUUGUGUCCGCCUGUUUAUCAAAAACAUCUUUUCUUGUUAGUUUUUGAAGUAUGGCCUGCCCACUGACUGUUGUUGAAGGGCCGCGGUAUUUUGACCGUGCAAAGGUAGCAUAAUCAUUAGUUCUUUAAUUGUGAUCUGGUAUGAAUGGCUUGACGAGACAUAAGCUGUCUUAGGGGUGUUGUAUUAAUUGAAUUUGGUUUUUGAGUUAAAAUUCUUAAAUGUUUUUAUGGGACGAGAAGACCCUAUAGAGUUUAACAUUUCUUUUACUGUAUACUGUUUGUUUAUUUUGUUGAGUAGGGGAUAUUGUUUUGUUGGGGUGAUGGGAGGAAAUAUAUUUAACUCCUCUUUAUUUUUGUAUAUUUAUUUAUAUUUCUUUUGAUCCAUUUAUUUUGAUUAUAAGAUUAAAUUACCUUAGGGAUAACAGCGUUAUCCCCCUUGAGAGUUCUUAUUGGCGGGGGGGUUUGCGACCUCGAUGUUGGAUUAAGGUGAAUUUUCGGUGUAGAAGCUGAAAGUGAUUAGGUCUGUUCGACCUUUAAAAUCUUACAUGAUCUGAGUUCAAACCGGCGUGAGCCAGGUUGGUUUCUAUCUAUAGAAUUGUUUUAUAUCUUAGUACGAGAGGACCGGAUAUUUGAAAUAAUUUCAGUUGUUAUAUUGGUUUUUGUUAAUGUGGU
rnacentral:rRNA from 1 species